rnacentral:misc_RNA from 1 species
AACCAGCAGCCGCAACAAGAUAGCUGAUAUAGCAUAUAUAAAUCAGAAAAGAUUUGAUGGUAUGAAAAAAUCAGUAAUGUGACUGUAUGACAUAGAGAGAUAUUAAGGCAUACAAAAGAUCAAGCUAUUUCUUUGUCUACCAAAAAUAACUUGUUUAUCAACAGUUAAUCAUAUCACUUGCAAAAUAUAAGACACAUUACACUUAAAAACAGUUUCAUGACUCCUUGAGAAUGGGCAGUGGGAUGUCUUUAGGCUUCCCAGUAAUUCUUUUG